rnacentral:lncRNA from 1 species
UUCCCCCCUCUCGGCCACCGCCAGGUGAGCCUAGCUCCUAUAAAACCACUGCUCCGCCAUAACUAGAGAGAGAGACCGCGAGCUCAUCGUCACCGGCGACUCCUCCUACGACCCCAAGGUGGAGCCGACCGUCCAGGAGCGGCGCCCGUUUGGGCUGCUUCCAUAACGUCCUCUGCGUCUUCGAGGGACGUCAACGCCAGGCAACAAUUGGCGAUUGUCUUCCUCGACAAACGCCGUCGCUGACAGCAAUUCGCGCAGCGUCACCGUCCUCGAGACCACUCGCCUAUGUCAAGCCCCUCCUCGUGAGCAUCUGCAUGUCCCCAGUGUUUUUCCCCUUCGAUUACGCCCUCUGCCCGUCGUCGCCUUCAAGCCCGAGUGCAUCGCCAUCGAACCUCAUCUCCGGCGAGUGCCUUCGACCUUGUGAGUCGUGUGUGGCAGUGCGUUAAGCGUCAACAUCAUUGCGUGGUUCCAUUUUCGCUGUCUAUUGGCAGUAUGCCCCGCUGUGGCCGGCUAGUCAGCUCGUCAUUGCCGCGUGGGUUUCCUGUCGCUCGCGACGUCCCGUUGUGAAAUAGGUGUCGGGAGUCCGUGCAUGCGUUUGGAAGGAAUAUGCGGAGUGCCUCAUGCCUUCCACCCUAUCGUUGGGUCAAUGUAGUAGCACCGCCGUGGUCAUGUGUCAUCUGUCGUCACCAUUGGUGAACACCUGUGCAGUAUGUGAGUGUGAGUGACUCUUUUGUGGGUCCCGUCUAGCACAAGAAUGGAGUAAAAAGCCUCGAGCCACCCUUCUGGUAAAGUCAAACCCGCUAGCUCGACUGGUUUGCCAUGCGAGUUAACAUCGAGAGGUCUCCUGUUCGAUCCCUCGUGAUCCUCUUUUAUUUUCUGUGCGUGUUGUUUUCUUCUAAGGGUGACAGUGGGCCGUGGUCCCACUUGUCAACCCCUCAAGGGCCCUAUGUGACUAACCAGUGGACCCCAUGGGAAUUUCUUUUUACAUUGUUUUAAUGUUUUAUUUAUUUAUUUCCUGGUUGCAAUAUGACAAUUUGAGUAAGUUGCCAUUUCUGUCCAUUUUGUGCAUAUCCUAAUCUGGCAUAUACUAGGUUAUACCUAGUACUUGUAAUAAGUUUGUGGCAUUAUUUUCUACAAAAACAUAGGCUUGUGGUAUAUGAAUUUGGGGUAGAAAAAUAUAAGGAAUCCAGUGGUGGAAUUAGUUUUGUCUUUUGAGAAAUUUUGUCAACAUGGUAUUUUAUGCUAUGAUGUCAUUUUGUUAAUUUUGUAUGAUUUAAUCCUUGUACCCUUUGUUAAACUUAUGAACAUGAAAGUUGUAGUGUUUUGAUAAUACUAGGUCAUGGUAUUUUAAUUGCCAUGAACACAUUGUGUAUUUGUGGGUUUCUUGCUGUGAACAUGUCAUCUCAAUAUUACUGUUUUUAGGUUUUGUUGAAAUAUGACCAAGUCUGAAAACAAUUUGAAGUGGCCGAGUUGCCAUGAUGUUUGCCAUGCAUCUACAAGUUUUUUGUGUUGGUACUUUGGUCUGAAUUAAAGAGCAUGUUGCCCUAUGACAAAUGGCGCCAUUACUUUGCAAAAUAGGUUUUGCAUCUUAGCUAUUCUUCCUGUCAAACAUGCCAUGUUGAUGUAAUUUGCUAUGACUUCACCUUGGAAAUUUGACCAAGAGUGAGAAUCUGCUAUUAUCAUCAUGCCAUGUUUAGAUGAUGCUACCAUGAUUUCUAUGCAGUUUUAGCAAAUGUUUAGUGGGAGUGAAUUGUAUUAGUUGUUUCCCUCAAACACCCUAUUAAGUUUCAUGCCAUGAAAGUUCUUGUUGAAUAGAGUUUUAUUGCUGACAAUAUGCCACCAUGAUAAUUCUGCUUAUGUAAAACUGAGAAUUUCACUAACUCCUAAUCUGCUUUAUUUUUGCCAUGUUAUGAGCUUGAUUGCCAUUGAUACAUGAACAUAUCCAUGUACUUAGGGUCAUUUUACUCUCUGAUAGCUUGAUAUUCAUGUCUUGGUUGAACUUGAUGGGUGGUUGCAGCUGUUAGUUUUCAUAUGAACAAAGUGGUAUGUUUGGUGUUUGUGAACAAAUUGUUUGUUGGAUUGUUUUGUACUUUGUGUGAGUUGUGCUCCUUUGUUUUGCAUGAACUUUAGGUCUAAUUCACCUAGAAUUUCAUGCCCAAUCUAGUGUCAUACUUGGGAUGCCAAGGAAUUGCCCAUAGCCUCUAUCAAAUUCUGAUUUAUCUUUGAUGCCUUUCGUAUCUUGUUUUGUGAGUUCCGAGAGAUACAUAACUAGGUUUGCGACGUUCUUUAUACUCAUUUGCAUCGUUUUCUCAUGAUGCAUUCAUUUCUUCCAUGUUCAUGCAUGCCCAAAUAAUUAAUCUUUAGGUUCUGUCUAGAGAGUAAUAACUAAAUAAUUGCAUGAGAAAAAUGACCAGUGUAGCAUUGUCAUGCUUCAUUCACAUCAUAUUCAUGCAUCAUAUGUUUGAGCAUCAUGCCAUAGCUUUGUGUUCAUUGGAUGUUGUAUUUUCUUUUGCGUAGCGUCGGGUGCCAAGAACGAGUACGAGGAUCUCGCUGAGAAUGUUCCUGAAGAGCAAGAAUUUUAUCCCUCGGAAGAAGUGCCAUGCAAGAUGAUUGUGACCUCGACAUUGUUUCUAAUUUGGUUAUGCUUACUUGUCUCAUUUCCAUUGCUUUUUUCCGCCGGAUAUAAAACCUACAAACAUUUCCAUGAAAUGCUUCUAACCCCUCCACAUCCUAGCAAACAAUGAUUGGCUAAGUUAGCACUUGCUCCAACCAUCUUAUAGCAUUGCUAGUUGCAGGUGCAGGUUGAUCCAUGUGUUGACGUAGAUAUUUUGGAAUAUCAUCUUCUGACUGCUAUUUAAUUUAAUGCACAUAUAUACCUGGUGAAGGCGUAAAUCUUGGCAUUUUGCUCAGUGUUUUAUUCCUAUUUUGCCUCCCUAGUUCCAGUUACCGGUGUUAUGUUCCAUUGAGCGCACCUAACACGCUUGGGCUUGUUAUGGGGACCCUCUUAAUAAUUCAUUUUGAGUUAAGACUCUUUCGACAAGGCCCAACAUUGGUAUUAAAUUUGCUAAACAACUUAAUAAAAAUGCUUAGAUAAUAGCUACCAUGUGGAUCUUAAUCAAC